AUACGGAGGAUCCGAGCGUUAUCCGGAUUUAUUGGGUUUAAAGGGAGCGUAGGUGGAUUGUUAAGUCAGUUGUGAAAGUUUGCGGCUCAACCGUAAAAUUGCAGUUGAAACUGGCAGUCUUGAGUACAGUAGAGGUGGGCGGAAUUCGUGGUGUAGCGGUGAAAUGCUUAGAUAUCACGAAGAACUCCGAUUGCGAAGGCAGCUCACUAGACUGUUACUGACACUGAUGCUCGAAAGUGUGGGUAUCAAACAGGAUUAGAUACCCUGGUAGUCCACAUAGUAAACGAUGAAUACUCGCUGUUUGCGAUAUACAGUAAGCGGCCAAGCGAAAGCGUUAAGUAUUCCACCUGGGGAGUACGCCGGCAACGGUGAAACUCAAAGGAAUUGACGGGG
rnacentral:rRNA from 1 species